AAUUUUUCCUACCUCCACGUCAAAGCUUUGAAGAGCUAUAAGAAGGAACUGUACAAAAUGAAAACAAGACCACUAGAUCUAUUUCUCAAUUCAGUUCUUAUUAUUAUUCCAAGAUAAACGGCAUGAUAUUUUGAUAUAAACCGAUUUUUUACAUUAAAAGUAGACACCUUUGAAUUGCAGGAAAAUGGGUGUGUUUAGGAUAAUGAAACAACUGAUUCACUGGGGACCAAUAGUGGCUCUGUCGAUCAUAUUUUUUAUAUCAGGCUCUACUGUGAACUGUGUUCUAAUGUACUGGCCACUCCAUACAGAUGGAGGGAUCAUCAACUUCCUCAUUUUCUUGCUAUGGAAUUUUUUAACCUUGUACAAUUAUUUUUGUGCAGUAGUAAAAGGUCCAGGUUUUGUGCCUUACAGCUGGAGACCAAAACGUAAAGAACACUGCAAGAAGUUACAGUAUUGUGAACUGUGUGAAAGUUACAAAUCACCAAGAUCUCAUCAUUGUAGAAAAUGUGAUAGAUGUGUUAUGAAGAUGGACCACCAUUGUCCAUGGAUAAAUACGUGUUGUGGACAUUUUAACCACGGCAAUUUCACCUACUUCCUGUUUUUUGCUCCAUGUGGAUGUUUUCAUUCUCUGUUUAUUCUAAUUCCAAGUAUAUACAAGGCUCUUAAUUUUACGUGGUAUUUACACCAUGGCAGUAGAGAUCAACUGGUAUAUCUAGGUAUAGGAGGAUUUCUGUCAUGUAUGUUUGCCAUAGGUCUUGCCAUAGGAGUUAUAAUUGCAGUUGGACUGCUCUUUGUGAUACAGCUUAAAAGCAUUUUAAAGAAUGAAACUGGUAUAGAAACUUGGAUUAUAGAAAAGGCUGAGGACAGAGACCGGGAUGAGGAUGAGGAUGACUUCAUAUAUCCGUACAAUCUUGGCUGGCGAAGAAAUCUCGCACAAGUAUUCACAUGGUCUGGAAAACCAAAGUCAGAUGGAUUCACCUGGGAUGUUGUAGAAGGUUGUGACCAGUUCACUUUUACUGAAGAGCAGUUGAAACAGAAAGCUUUAAAACGUGAUAGAACUCAGGAGUAUAUAGUGGUAGAGGAUUACUCUGGUGCACUUAUACCACUGUCUAAGGGCUGCGGUAUGUGCUGUGGUAUACCAUGUACAGAUGAACCAAGGAUACCGGUGAAAAAAGGAGAUAUUGUCAAGGUUACCAGGUGGAAAAAGUAAAAAAUGGCUUUAUGGUACAAAAGUAAUGACAGAUAAAGAAAGAUCUUCAGGUCAGAGACGGCAACGAGGAUGGUUUCCAAGGCGUUGUGCUAGGGACUAUAUCUCUGAUACAUCAAAUGGUGAACUCGAUU
rnacentral:misc_RNA from 1 species